UCCUUGUGUGAGAACACUACUAAUAUAUGAGAACAAAUCUAUGCCUUAGGAUCAAAUUUCAUCAACGACUCACAUCAAACGACCUCCAUAUCCAUUUCGUCCUCUCCAUUUCCAACUCUUUCCAGACGGAAGGGUACAAUGGUCCGAAACCGACCACAAAUUUGGUCGCUGACUGGGUCUCUGUCAACAACAAUGUCGCUCGUAGCUUGCGAAUUUAUGUCGCGGUUUCUCUCUCCUCGCCGUCCUCUUCAAUCGUAUUGUUUCCGGCAUUGCUCCCGUUGCCUAUGCCAGUAGGUUAUGUAGAGGCCCAACAGUAGACUUGGAAGAGUUGCCACUUCUGCCAUUGAGGUGUUUGUUGAUGAGGAAUGUUCAGGGUAAGUAUUGAUUAUGCAUUUUAGUAAAGUGAAUGUAAGUUGUAUAAAUUUUACUAAAUAAGUUCUUCAAAGAAUUGUAACAUGAUCAAAUACAUCAUUUUUAAAUUGUAACAUGAGAAAAUUGCAACUCUUAGUUCUUAAAUUUACAGUUUGUUGAUUGCAUGAGAAACCUAUAACUCCCUGAUAGGCUGGCGAUUUAUUUUUCACUAUCUCGUACAAAUUGCAACAAACUGGUGAUUUUCAAAGCAUUACAAGUUCCCAAUUGAAGGACAGGGAAGAGGUUAACCUCAAAAGAGAAACUGAAUUACUUAAGGAAAACCCACUGCGUAACUUUCCUGCCAGCAGUUUCCCUCGAUGAUUCCAUUCCUAUACGGUUCCAGUCUAUGCUCUCAAUCUUUGGAGAAUCUGGAGAAGGGAACAAUAAUUUUCCUAGAGCAGUUCCAUUUUUAAGGGUGAAAUCUUGCAUCUUUUUCCUCUUUGUAUAACACAUGUCUACAUCAUACGACAUAAACAAUCUCUAUGGUUUGUUUUUAAAAUUCAAAUAAUGUUGUAAUGUGCAACAAAUACAGUUUGUACCAAGGCUUUGUAUUCAAUCUUUCUUGUUACCAAGAAAAAUCACAAGGAUACUAAUUUGGUUUGAAAAUCACAAAAUCUAUACUGUUGUUGCUUGUUUGCAAAACAACCAUGGA